AAUCGUACCCCAAACCGACACAGGUGGUCAGGUAGAGAAUACCAAGGCGCUUGAGAGAACUCGGGUGAAGGAACUAGGCAAAAUGGUGCCGUAACUUCGGGAGAAGGCACGCUGGCAUGUAGGUGAAGUCCUUCGCGGAUGGAGCUGAAGCCAGUCGAAGAUACCAGCUGGCUGCAACUGUUUAAUAAAAACACAGCACUGUGCAAACACGAAAGUGGACGUAUACGGUGUGACGCCUGCCCGGUGCUGGAAGGUUAAUUGAUGGGGUCAGCCGCAAGGCGAAGCUCUUGAUCGAAGCCCCAGUAAACGGCGGCCGUAACUAUAACGGUCCUAAGGUAGCGAAAUUCCUUGUCGGGUAAGUUCCGACCUGCACGAAUGGCGUAAUGAUGGCCAGGCUGUCUCCACCCGAGACUCAGUGAAAUUGAACUCGCUGUGAAGAUGCAGUGUACCCGCGGCAAGACGGAAAGACCCCGUGAACCUUUACUAUAGCUUGACACUGAACAUUGAGCCUUGAUGUGUAGGAUAGGUGGGAGGCUUUGAAGCGUGGACGCCAGUCUGCGUGGAGCCAUCCUUGAAAUACCACCCUUUAAUGUUUGAUGUUCUAACUCGGCCCCAUAAUCUGGGGUGAGGACAGUGUCUGGUGGGUAGUUUGACUGGGGCGGUCUCCUCCCAAAGAGUAACGGAGGAGCACGAAGGUUAGCUAAUCACGGUCGGACAUCGUGAGGUUAGUGCAAAGGCAUAAGCUAGCUUGACUGCGAGAGUGACGGCUCGAGCAGGUACGAAAGUAGGUCUUAGUGAUCCGGUGGUUCUGAAUGGAAGGGCCAUCGCUCAACGGAUAAAAGGUACUCCGGGGAUAACAGGCUGAUACCGCCCAAGAGUUCAUAUCGACGGCGGUGUUUGGCACCUCGAUGUCGGCUCAUCACAUCCUGGGGCUGAAGUAGGUCCCAAGGGUAUGGCUGUUCGCCAUUUAAAGUGGUACGCGAGCUGGGUUUAGAACGUCGUGAGACAGUUCGGUCCCUAUCUGCCGUGGGCGUUGGAAGAUUGAGAGGGGUUGCUCCUAGUACGAGAGGACCGGAGUGAACGCACCACUGGUGUUCGGGUUGUCAUGCCAAUGGCAUUGCCCGGUAGCUAAGUGCGGAAAAGAUAAGCGCUGAAAGCAUCUAAGCGCGAAACUUGCCUCAAGAUGAGUCUUCCCUGGGCCUUUAAGG
rnacentral:rRNA from 2 species